ensembl:lncRNA
UCCUAAUCACAUACUUCCACACAAACAGUAGGUAUCCUAAGCACAUACUUCCACACAAACAGUAGGUAUCCUAAUCACAUACUUCCACACAAACAGUAGGUAUCCUACUCACAUACUUCCACACAAACAGUAGAUAUCCUCCACACAUACAUACACACAAACAGUAGAUAUCCUACACACAUACUUCCACACAAACAGUAGAUAUCCUACGCACAUACAUACACACAAACAGUAGGUAUCCUACACACAUACUUCCACACAAACAGUAGAUAUCCUACACACAUACUUCCACACAAACAGUAGGUAUCCUACACACAUAAAUACAC